rnacentral:rRNA from 1 species
UACGUAGGGCGCAAGCGUUAUCCGGAAUCACUGGGCGUAAAGCGUCUGUAGGUGGUUUAAAAAGUCCACUGUUAAAGAUUGAAGCUUAACUUCAAAAAUGCCGUGGAAACUUUUAAACUUGAGUAUGAUAGGGGUAGAGGGAAUUUCCAGUGGAGCGGUGAAAUGCGUAGAUAUUGGAAAGACCACCAAUGGCGAAGGCACUCUACUGGGCCAUUACUGACACUGAGAGACGAAAGCUAGGGGAGCAAAUGGG